GACGCUGGCGGUAGGCUUAACACAUGCAAGUCGAGCGAGAAAGUAUCUUCGGAUAUGAGUAGAGCGGCGGACGGGUGAGUAACGCGUAGGAAUCUACCUAGUAGAAGGGGAUAGCCCGGGGAAACUCGGAUUAAUACCGUAUACCUCCUAAGGGAGAAAGAGGGCCUCUCUUGAUGCUCUCGCUAUUAGAUGAGCCUGCGUAAGAUUAGCUUGUUGGUAAGGUAAUGGCUUACCAAGGCUACGAUCUUUAGCUGGUCUGAGAGGACGAUCAGCCACAUUGGGACUGAGACACGGCCCAGACUCCUACGGGAGGCAGCAGUGGGGAAUAUUGGACAAUGGGCGCAAGCCUGAUCCAGCCAUACCGCGUGUGUGAAGAAGGCCUUCGGGUUGUAAAGCACUUUAAGCAGGGAGAAAAAGCAAUAAGUUAAUACCUUAUUGCCGUGAUGUUACCUGCAGAAUAAGCACCGGCUAAUUCCGUGCCAGCAGCCGCGGUAAUACGGAAGGUGCAAGCGUUAAUCGGAAUUACUGGGCGUAAAGCGCGCGUAGGUGGUUUGUUAAGUUGGAUGUGAAAGCCCUGGGCUCAACCUAGGAACUGCAUCCAAAACUAACUCACUAGAGUACGAUAGAGGGAGGUAGAAUUCAUAGUGUAGCGGUGGAAUGCGUAGAUAUUAUGAAGAAUACCAGUGGCGAAGGCGGCCUCCUGGAUCUGUACUGACACUAAGGUGCGAAAGCGUGGGUAGCGAACAGGAUUAGAUACCCUGGUAGUCCACGCCGUAAACGAUGACAACUAGCUGUUGGGAGACAAUGUCUUUCAGUGGCGCAGCUAACGUUUUAAGUUGUCCGCCUGGG
rnacentral:rRNA from 1 species